rnacentral:rRNA from 1 species
UACGAAGGGUGCAAGCGUUACUCGGAAUCACUGGGCGUAAAGCGUGCGUAGGCGGUUCGUUAAGUCUGCUGUGAAAGCCCUGGGCUCAACCUGGGAACUGCAGUGGAUACUGGCGGACUAGAGUGUGAUAGAGGAUGGUGGAAUUCCGGGUGUAGUGGUGAAAUGCGUAGAGAUCCGGAGGAACACCAGUGGCGAAGGCGACACGCUGGGCCGUACCUGACACUGAUGCGCGACAGCAUGGGGAGCAAACAGG